rnacentral:sRNA from 1 species
GGCGCAAUGUGGAUGGUGUCAACUAUGCCAGCAUCACCCGGAACCAGCACAUCCCCCAAUACUGCGGCUCCUGCUGGGCCCACGCCAGCACCAGCGCUAUGGCGGAUCGGAUCAACAUCAAGAGGAAGGGAGCAUGGCCCUCCACCCUCCUGUCCGUGCAGAACGUCAUCGACUGUGGUAAUGCUGGCUCCUGUGAAGGGGGUAAUGACCUGUCCGUGUGGGACUACGCCCACCAGCACGGCGUCCCCGAUGAGACCUGCAACAACUACCAGGCCAAGGACCAGGAGUGUGACAAGUUUAACCAAUGUGGGACAUGCAAUGAAUUCAAAGAGUGCCACGCCAUCCGCAACUACACCCUCUGGAGGGUGGGAGACUAUGGCUCCCUCUCUGGGAGGGAGAAGAUGAUGGCAGAAAUCUACGCAAAUGGUCCCAUCAGGUGAGGAGAGGUCCCACGGGCGAGUAGAGGUUUGCAGGUGAGGAAAGGUCCCGCAGGUGAGGAGAGAUCCGCGGUGACAGCGCCAGUGUGGGCUCAUGUAGGUACUCAUGUAGACGUCUCCGUCUUUCGCCACUUCCCUUUGGCUGGUUGUAUUCAGUGGGCUCGAGACAGCCACAUCAUUUCCCCUCUAC